ACACUUUGCACGAGAUAGGUCGAGAUUGGUGACAAUAUUCAGUGAUGACCUCACGUGUCAAUAUUGCACUUGUCCCGGCCUAUCGAAGUGCAUUGUCCUU
rnacentral:pre_miRNA from 1 species